rnacentral:rRNA from 1 species
UUUAUUCCGGCCUGAUUAAUGGCGGGAUGUUUUUACACAGCAAGCUUUAGUUGCAGCACAGACUUCGGUCUGGUGGCGAGUGGCGAACGGGUGAGUAAUGUGUCGGUAACGUGCCCAGUAGCGGGGGAUAACUACGCGAAAAAGCGUACACUGCUACUGCCCUUCGGGGAAAGUUGGGGACCUUUUCGGGCCUCGCACCAUUAGAGCGGCCGAUAUCGGAUUAGCUUGGUGGGGUAACGGCUCACCAAGGCGACGAUCCGUAGCUGGUUUGAGAGGACGACCAGCCACACUGGGACUGAGACACGGCCCAGACUCCUCACGGGAGGCAGCAGUGGGGAAUUUGGAUAAUGGGGAAACUCCUGAUCCAGCCAUCUGCAAGAUGAAGGCCUUCGGGUUGUAAAGCACUUUUGGCAGGAAAGAACGGCACGGGCAGACAGGACAAAGAUACUACCCGCAACUGACGGUACCUGCAGAAUAAGCACCGGCUAACUACGCCAGCAGCCAGGUAAUACGUAGGGUGCAAGCGUUAAUCGGAAUUACCGGCGUAAGCGUGCGCAGGCGGUUCGGAAAGAAAGAUGUGAAAUCCCAGAGCUUAACUUUGGAACCGCAUUUUUAACUACCGAGCUAGAGUGUGUCAGAGGGAGGUGAACGCGUGUAGCAGUGAAAUGCGUAGAUAUGCGGAGGAACACCGAUGGCGAAGGCAGCCUCCUGGGAUAACACUGACGCUCAUGCACGAAAGCGUGGGGAGCAAACAGGAUUAGAUACCCUGGUAGUCCACGCCCUAAACGAUGUCAAUCAGCUGUUGGGGCCUUCGGCCUUGGUAGCGCAGCUAACGCGUGAAGUUGACCGCCCGGGAGUACGGUCGCAAGAUUAAAACUCAAAGGAAUCGACGGGACCCGCACAAGCGGUGGAUGAUGUGGAUUAAUUCGAUGCAACGCGAAAACCUUACCUACCCUUGACAUGUCUGGAAUCCCGAAGAGAUUUGGGAGUGCUCGCAAGAGAACCGAACACAGGUGCUGCAUGGCUGUCGUCAGCUCGUGUCGAGAUGUUGGGUUAAGUCCCGCAACGAGCGCAACCCUUGUCAUUAGUUGCUACGAAAGGGCACUCUAAUGAGACUGCCGGUGACAAACCGGAGGAAGGUGGGGAUGACGCCAAGUCCUCAUGGCCCUUAUGGGUAGGGCUUCACACGUCAUACAAUGGUCGGGACAGAGGGUCGCUAACCCGCGAGGGGGAGCCAAUCCCAGAAACCCGAUCGAACCGGAUCGCAGUCUGCAACUCGACUGCGUGAAGUCGGAAUCGCUAGGUAAUCGCGGAUCAGCAUGUCGCGGUGAAUACGUUCCCGGUCUUGUACACACCGCCCGUCACACCAUGGGAGUGGGUUUUACCAGAAGUGGUUAGCCUAACCGUAAGGAGGGCGAUUACCACGGUAGGAUUCAUGACUGGGGUGAAGUCGUAACAAGGUAG